UACGUAGGUGGCAAGCGUUGUCCGGAUUUACUGGGCGUAAAGAGCGCGCAGGCGGCUGGGCAAGUCCGAUGUGAAAGCUUCCGGCUUAACUGGAAAAUUGCAUCGGAAACUGCUCGGCUUGAAGGUGGGAGAGGGUAGCGGAAUUCCCGGUGUAGUGGUGAAAUGCGUAGAUAUCAAGUGGAACACCAGUGGCGAAGGCGAAUCCCUGGAAAAUACCUGACACUGAGGCACGAAAGCUAGGGGAGCAAACAGG
rnacentral:rRNA from 1 species